GUCCUUUAGAAAAAUAAUUUAAGGUCUAAUCUGCCCACUGAUUAAUUGAAUGGCCGCAGUAAUUUGACUGUGCAAAGGUAGCAUAAUCAUUAGUUUUUUAAUUAAAAGCUUGUAUGAAUGAUUGGACGAGAUAAAAUCUGUCUCUUAAUUAGUAUUAGAAUUUAAUUUUUAAGUAAAAAAGCUUAAAUAUUUAUGAAAGACGAGAAGACCCUAUAGAUCUUUAUUUAUGAAGUUUAAUUUUUAUUAAGAUUUAUUUAUUUAUUAUAUUUAAAUAAAUUUUAUUGGGGUAAUAAAAAGAUUAAUAUAAUUCUUUUUUAUUUUUAACAAUUAUAAUUGAUUUGGAGAUCCAUUAUUAGUGAUUAUAAGAUUAAGUUACCUUAGGGAUAACAGCGUAAUUUUUUUAGAGAGUUCAUAUCGAUAAAAAAGAUUGCGACCUCGAUGUUGGAUUAAAAAUUAUUCUAGGUGCAGAAGUUUAGAAUUUUGGUCUGUUCGACCAUUAAAUUUUUACA
rnacentral:rRNA from 1 species